UGUGGAUGGUAAAUAGAGACAUGUAUGCGUGGACAGAAGGGUAUGUACAUAUAUGAUUACAAUAAUUAAAAUGUUAUCCGGGAACUAAAGAUGUUACAAAGAACUUAGAUGAAAGAAGCUUACACAAAAUGAAGAUAUAUAUGUGGAUAUAAACAAAAGUGUUGUGGACAGACGAGGUGUGUACGCUUGUUCAAACGCUUGUUGGGGUAUCUGUCAGUUGCAAAUAAUCUCGUGGGGGAGGACGGGGAUCAUGUUGAAGGGUUCCUAUAUUUGAAAGAGGAACUGGAAUUAUUUUUCAAUUUAAAGCAAAAUCUGAGAUCUCAAGAAACAAUUUUGUUGUCAAUGAAACGAUAGUACUAAAGGACAAAAUACUAACCUCUCAUUUCGUUUUGCUGUGUGGCUGGUUGUGAAGGAAGCUUCCCUUUCUUCUUUGACUUUGAUUUUGUCAUGAUUUGAGACAGACGAGCGAAAUAACUAUGAAAUGAAGACGAAAAUCAAGGAAUUAGAACGAAAAAGUGAAGAUGGAGUGCUAAAUGCAGAAUCAAGCGGCAAAUAUUAAGAAUCCAUGUGGUAUGCGAUAUUGAGAAAGAAGAAAUAAAGGAUUUCAAAAAUUAGGGUUAUAGAAU
rnacentral:lncRNA from 1 species